GCACAGCUUUCAAGGUAGAUUUCAUUCUGUCCAUUUAAGAAAUGAAUGUGCCUUUAAAAGUUUCCAGUAAAGAGCUAUCUCAGAGCAAACAUGAUCCAGCCCAGAACUGCUGUUUCAGCAUUAUCCGAAUGCUCAAGGUCACUGCAGUUUGCUUCUUUUUCAGCACUGGAGUGGCAUUUUGCCAUCAGCAUUUCCAUGAAAUGGGUCAUUUUUGAUGAAUUCUCAGGUUUGGAUGGCAAGGAAGGAGGAGCACUGGAUGGUUUCCAAGCAGUUCCAUUACAGAUGCCAGUGUUUUGCAUGGGGCCUCCCUCACCCUGCUUUAUUGAUCACCAAGACACGACCUCAAAGGGUUGAGUCUGCCCAGUGAUGGUGUCUGGAUGAGCAUCCCCAUGCUGCCUCUGUGGGCAUCUCCACUGUAGCUCCCCUAGGUCAAGAAGAAAUACCCUCUUUAAGAGGGGCAGGCAGAGCCAUGGCUCAGCUAAUAGGAAAGGAGGUUUCUAGAAGCGACUGGAGUUGGUGAGCCACACAUCACACUUCAGUCCCGCAAGCUGGCAGCGAACAAGUUAGUUCAGUGGCGGAAUGAGGCUUCCACCUCAUCCCAGGGCCAUCAGGGUCGUGCUGGAAGGUGAUGCAGGGAAGCAACUCUCAUAAGCUGCAGUGCAGGUCCUUCAGCUGAUGAAGACAAGGCUUCUCCAGCUCCAGUUCGUGCUGGAAAUCAGCCUUUCCCUUCCCUAACAUACGCUUGGGAUGCCUACUGGGACACAUGGCUGCCCGCUGGGGCUGAAACCGUGGCGAGAAUGUCCUGCUGACACAAGAGCUAAUGAAGUAUUUGCACUAUACUGUCCCUUUGUGCUAUUAUAUAUAUAUAAAUGUAUAUAUAUAAUGUAUGUAUAAUGUAGAUAUGUAUAAAAAGGAGGACACAAAUUGGAUAUAAACAUAUGUGUGUGUAUAUAUAUAUAUAUAUAAGCAUAACAAGAAAUUAUUUGCAAGUAAUUAUGAAUGAGGAACUUGCACACUGCCAUGGUCUCAGCAGGCACAGCUCCCCCCUUCUCCCUCCCAUCUUCCUGCGUCACUGUCUCUGUUAUCUAGCUAAAAAUAAAGGAGUGUUGGGCACCCAUGUGUCCCAUGGGUGACCGCAUGAUAAACAUCAAGCCUUGGUGCUAACAACCCAUAAACAGGGGUGGGGAGCAGCAGCCGGCUUCUCUCUGUGCAGUUGUUGCCUCAAGAGGUACCCAGGCUCCAGCCCUGCAGUGCGGCAAGGAGGUGGGGAAUGAGGAUGCUGCUCAUGGACCCCAAUCCCUCUCCUCCCAGUCUUUCCCUCAUCCAGAGCUAAGGCAGUUUUUAGCUUCAAGUGAGCCAUUAGAGGCUCUCUCAGCCCAGAGCAUCCUCAGAGGUUGUAAACCCUCCAGCCACAGGAUAAAAACCCAGCAGGGCUCUUUUUCCCAAUCCAGCCCUUUUCCAUGACCUCCCGAUGGGAUUAUGGCCUCCUCAUGCUCCACUGGUCUCUUCAAACACAUUGUCACACCAGGACUUACCCACCUGCAAUCACGCUUCGGUGCCCAUUCCCCCCCAGCAGUUACCAGGGACACGGAGCAGCCAGGCUGAACAGAAGUGCUGAUGCUGAGGUUUCACAAUGAGUUUGAGCCCCACCACCUCCUGCUUUGCUCUCAUUCAAUUGUACAGGGGGGUGGCACAGGUUAGGGUCCCAGAUGGGUUAUUUACCCUGCAGCUGAUGAGGGAUAAAUCACUGUGGGACUCUUUACAUCACGCCCUUAUGAUGGAAAGAGGAAGAUGGGCAGCAGCUGGGACAGGCUCAGUUUCAGCGCCACAAGCUGAAGGCAAAACUGGCGGGGGAUUAUCCUAAAUCAUCCCUAUCCCAUUCCCAAUUGGAGAUGCUCCAGGGCUGAUGGAAGCAUAGGUGGUGGGUUGGCUUUUUGAGGGGGAUCUUUUUUCCCUUCUGAGCAAUCAGGUGGUUUCUAAGGCUGGGCUGGGAAGAGCGUGGUCCACCCUGGGAGGAUGUGGUGGGCAAGAAACCAUUGCAAAGCUGCAGCAUUGCCAUUUCCCCUCCGGGCUGUGGACGUUUUAAACAGGCAGCAGAAACCAAAGGACGGGGAAAUUGCCAAAGAGUUGAAAGGGCCCCCUUGUUAGUGUAAGCAGCAAGGGAGGGGGCUUUCCAAGAGCUAUUUAAACAUUAACCAGCACAACAAUUGCCCUGUGUUCCUAUUCCCAAUCACCACAAUGGUCUUUCACCUCUGCAGGGUCCUGAGCUGCCUCCAGUCCUGGCGCAGUGCUGGGUCAGUGAGAGGAGCCUCUGUGCCACCUCCUUUCCCUGCAGGACUUCACGACCACCCCUUUGGGCUGCCAAGAGGUAUGGGAGCAGGGGACUAAAAUGGGUUAUGAACAUCCUUCUUGCAGCUAUAACUUGGAUGUGGCUGGAGGGUUUCAGAGCCUCAGCUCCUGAGAUCAAGACAGCAUCAAGCUGUGGAUGCUGAACCGAGGCACUGAGCUCUGAUGCAGGACCUGCAGCCAUCUCCCCCCAGCCAAGCACCAUUCAACCACUUUCCCCAUCAUCCUGAGGGCAUCUGAAGUGGUGUGAUGAGGUUUAGGCGGGAGCCGAUGGAACUGAGACCCAGCUUUGUGACCUGCUCUCUUUCCAGCAGCAAAGUACAGGUUUGAAAGCAAUGCUAGGUGGGAUCAGGAGCUUUGGGUGUAGUUUGUCUCUCCAGACACCAACUUCUGGGAAUGCUACAGCCCCAGCACUGAGGUAUCACAAGAAACUGUCUGAGCUGACAGUAGCCCACUCCAGAGGCAGAAUGUGGGUACCAUUGGGCUGGAGUGAUAAAGGACAAUGAAGAUGAUGAUAAUGAUGGUGAUGACGAUGAUGUGUGAGCUGAUGAAGAGCUGGGUGCAACGAUCUGUACAUUCCAUUCCCCAGUGCCUGCCCCUCAUGCUGCAGCAUCUUUGCAAGCCAUCAGAUGUCGUUAGUCAAGGCUGUCAUGGAGGGAGGAUGAGGGUAUCUUAAGGACCAUGGGAUUAUGUCUGGUCACCCACCAGCUGGGUGCAGCUCCAGCAUGAACACUUGGGAGAUUUACAGGCUUCAUAACUCACCUUCCACCAGUACUUUAAUGCAAUUGUUGUGGGGGUUUUUUGUAAGCAUUCCUCCUUUAAAUCUCACUCAAAGAUCUGAGGGAAGCAAACACAGGUUAAGCUGAAACAAACCGAAUGGUUUAUAGAGCAAAUAUUCCCAGGCUGGGCUCUCCAUAUUCCCAUGUCAUUGUAAUCAUCCUCAAUAAGAAUGUGCUUGUGCUGAAGUG